rnacentral:rRNA from 1 species
UACGUAGGGGGCAAGCGUUGUCCGGAAUCACUGGGCGUAAAGCGCACGUAGGCGGCAUCUUAAGUCAGGGGUGAAAGCCCAGAGCUCAACUCUGGAAUUGCCUUUGAGACUGAGUGGCUUGAGUACGGGAGAGGUGAGUGGAAUUCCCAGUGUAGAGGUGGAAUUCGUAGAUAUUGGGAAGAACACCGGUGGCGAAGGCGGCUCACUGGCCCGUAACUGACGCUCAUGCACGACAGCGUGGGGAUCAAACAGG